rnacentral:rRNA from 1 species
CGGUAAGGUGAUAUGAACCGUUAUAACCGGCGAUUUCCGAAUGGGGAAACCCAGUGUGUUUCGACACACUAUCAUUAACUGAAUCCAUAGGUUAAUGAGGCGAACCGGGGGAACUGAAACAUCUAAGUACCCCGAGGAAAAGAAAUCAACCGAGAUUCCCCCAGUAGCGGCGAGCGAACGGGGAGCAGCCCAGAGCCUGAAUCAGUAUGUGUGUUAGUGGAAGCGUCUGGAAAGGCGCGCGAUACAGGGUGACAGCCCCGUACACAAAAAUGCACAUGCUGUGAGCUCGAUGAGUAGGGCGGGACACGUGGUAUCCUGUCUGAAUAUGGGGGGACCAUCCUCCAAGGCUAAAUACUCCUGACUGACCGAUAGUGAACCAGUACCGUGAGGGAAAGGCGAAAAGAACCCCGGCGAGGGGAGUGAAAAAGAACCUGAAACCGUGUACGUACAAGCAGUGGGAGCACGCUUAGGCGUGUGACUGCGUACCUUUUGUAUAAUGGGUCAGCGACUUAUAUUCUGUAGCAAGGUUAACCGAAUAGGGGAGCCGAAGGGAAACCGAGUCUUAACUGGGCGUUAAGUUGCAGGGUAUAGACCCGAAACCCGGUGAUCUAGCCAUGGGCAGGUUGAAGGUUGGGUAACACUAACUGGAGGACCGAACCGACUAAUGUUGAAAAAUUAGCGGAUGACUUGUGGCUGGGGGUGAAAGGCCAAUCAAACCGGGAGAUAGCUGGUUCUCCCCGAAAGCUAUUUAGGUAGCGCCUCGUGAAUUCAUCUCCGGGGGUAGAGCACUGUUUCGGCAAGGGGGUCAUCCCGACUUACCAACCCGAUGCAAACUGCGAAUACCGGAGAAUGUUAUCACGGGAGACACACGGCGGGUGCUAACGUCCGUCGUGAAGAGGGAAACAACCCAGACCGCCAGCUAAGGUCCCAAAGUCAUGGUUAAGUGGGAAACGAUGUGGGAAGGCCCAGACAGCCAGGAUGUUGGCUUAGAAGCAGCCAUCAUUUAAAGAAAGCGUAAUAGCUCACUGGUCGAGUCGGCCUGCGCGGAAGAUGUAACGGGGCUAAACCAUGCAC